GCCAGAGUGGCAUAGUGGUUUGAGGAAUGGUCUAUGACUCUGGAGACCAGGGUUCGAUUCCCAGCUUGGCCA